ensembl:lncRNA
GUGACGUUUUCCUGAAGAAAUGGGAGCCUUCCAUGCAUCUGCUGCAUCUCCGUGAAGAAGCACUGCUGUGCAGUGGACUCGAGGAAACACAGACCGUCGCUGACGCGCUGAGAGCUGGGCUUGAACAAGGGCAGUGACGGCAGCGGUCUGCCUCUUCUCUGAGCUCCGGAGACGCGCGUGCACUAAUAAACUUCAGGUCUGGGCACCGCAUCUGAGGCCGAUGGCUCCCGGAGGUCAGGCAUCUGACAGCCACACCAGAUAGAGUGGAAGGAGCGAGUAGGAGUGUUUCAGCGGGAGGAGCAGAGCAGGAUGCAAGAAAAGUGAGGAAACUUGGCUAAUAACCUGCUUGGAUUUAUUGGCUUUCUGUUAAUGGAACUUCUAUACACAAGACAAACUCCGGAAGAUAGUGGAAGACAAGGAGCGUGGCUUGCUACAGUCCAUGAGGUUGCAAAGAGUCGGACGUGACUUAGCGACUGAAAAGCAACAAUAGCAACAAAUACGCAAGCCCGUUAGUCUUGUAUUUUCAAAGCCGGAGGUAGAUGUCAAGACCUGUGUGCAUCGAAGUAGCCAGAUGGACAAUGACGACCACUGCUGGUGACAUGUUCAUACAAACUGCCAGUAACUGGGUAAUAUGGGCUACUGUCUGACUGGAAUCAACCACAACACUGGUCUGCCACCUUUUCUGGCUUCUCUUUGAUCUUUCCUCCUGCAGUGAUGACCUUCUGCGCCGUGCCCUUCCAUUCCGGAAAAGGCCAGUCACUGCCACCCAACAAUUUAAUUAAAGGCCACAUUACAAGCAUCACUUGGAAUCUGUGGGGGAUUGUUCUGGAGCCUCAAGAACAUGAAAAUCAAUAGAUGCUCCAUGGCCCUCUGAAUCCACGGUUCUGCAGCCUCAGACUCAACCAACUGCAGAUGGUGUCGUCUUGUAUGUACUUUCUGGAAACAUCUGAGUAUAAGGUGACCUGUGCAGCUCAGACCUGUAUUGCUCAAGACGUAACUGUACUUGUUCAAGGAUACAGCUGGGUGGUCUCGGUGGUAGACAAGGAGGCAAGAGCCCGCAUGAGGCAACUUUUAGCACCAAGGAAAUCCCUCCGGCCGAUGCCCAAGCCACCUCCCCGGCCAGCAUGGGGUCUCAGAAACCCUAUCUCGGGGCUCAGCGCUGCAUCCUAAGGCUUCCGUCCUGUUACAGCACCAACACCUUUGGAGGAGGAGAUGGUGGAUAGCUCACUUUGAAAUCUAGUAACAGCUGUCUUCACCUGGCUGUGCCUAGAGUUUCCUUUGAGAAGGUUUGGUGGAGGCCAUACCCACAGGGCACAGAGGGGCCUCGAGGUCUCCAGAGGACAGAGAACCUUGACCUUCUUCCCUCCAGCCUCACCUCCCCACCCACAGGCCUCCGCACAACUCCUCGGCCUGGGACAUGUCGCCUCGAUCCCUAGGGUCAGGGGCCACAGCCCACGCUGCCCACUGAGACCAGCAGCCCCUCCCCCACAACGCUCCAGUGGCCUGCGCCCGCCCAGCCCAUCCACGCCCUGUCAUCCACAGUUGUGUGCAAUUACUGCGGGUCUGGACUCAGUAAAAC